UGGGGAAUAUUGGACAAUGGGCGCAAGCCUGAUCCAGCCAUGCCGCGUGUGUGAAGAAGGCCUUUUGGUUGUAAAGCACUUUAAGCGAGGAGGAGGCUACUUGGAUUAAUACUCUAGGAUAGUGGACGUUACUCGCAGAAUAAGCACCGGCUAACUCUGUGCCAGCAGCCGCGGUAAUACAGAGGGUGCGAGCGUUAAUCGGAUUUACUGGUCGUAAAGCGUGCGUAGGCGGCUUCUUAAGUCGGAUGUGAAAUCCCUGAGCUUAACUUAGGAAUUGCAUUCGAUACUGGGAAGCUAGAGUAUGGGAGAGGAUGGUAGAAUUCCAGGUGUAGCGGUGAAAUGCGUAGAGAUCUGGAGGAAUACCGAUGGCGAAGGCAGCCAUCUGGCCUAAUACUGACGCUGAGGUACGAAAGCAUGGGGAGCAAACAGG
rnacentral:rRNA from 1 species